CUCCCGGCGGGGCUGCCCGACUGACCCUUCCCUUGUUUUGUGUUGCAGGAGAGCCGGACAGGGCAGCGGCCGGCACUACCGCGCUGCGAUUUGCGCAGAGCUGAAGAAGCCCCUGACCAUUGAAGAGGUGGCCCCCGCCCCGUCGGGCCUCACGAGGUCAGAGUUGAUGUCCAUUUCUGUGGAGUUAACUUUGGUGAUAUUUUGAUCUGCCGUGAUCAAUAUCAGGAAAGGCCCCAUCUUCCCUUCACACCUGGUAAUAUAGCUGCUGCUGGAAGUGACGAGAAGUGCAAGCUGGCGAUGCAGAGGGGUGCGCAGUCCAGCGUGAACUACAGUCAGGGCAGCCUGAAGGAUGCAGCAUCAGCAUCAACGAGAACAGCAAGUGGGUGGGUGAAAAGGAAUAGAAGCAGAGAAAAUCAGGAAAUGCUUAUAUAUAGCAAAAACAAAAUACCCAUCUGGAAAAUAUCCAAAAAAUGACUGCAGACUCUCUUAGUUGGCAAUGCCAAAUGCUUUAGAAAUUAUUCAUGUGUUAAAUUCAGUUAUGCCAGUUCUCACUAACUACUUUAUAUCCAUGUCUGUGGGGAAUUCUUGCAGAGGGCAUUGUUCAGCUAUUAGAAUUA
rnacentral:lncRNA from 10 species